GGUGAACGCUGGCGGUAGGCCUAACACAUGCAAGUCGAACGGCAGCACAGUAAGAGCUUGCUCUUACGGGUGGCGAGUGGCGGACGGGUGAGGAAUACAUCGGAAUCUACUUUUUCGUGGGGGAUAACGUAGGGAAACUUACGCUAAUACCGCAUACGACCUACGGGUGAAAGCAGGGGAUCUUCGGACCUUGCGCGAUUGAAUGAGCCGAUGUCGGAUUAGCUAGUUGGCGGGGUAAAGGCCCACCAAGGCGACGAUCCGUAGCUGGUCUGAGAGGAUGAUCAGCCACACUGGAACUGAGACACGGUCCAGACUCCUACGGGAGGCAGCAGUGGGGAAUAUUGGACAAUGGGCGCAAGCCUGAUCCAGCCAUGCCGCGUGGGUGAAGAAGGCCUUCGGGUUGUAAAGCCCUUUUGUUGGGAAAGAAAAGCAGCAGGUUAAUACCCCGCUGUUCUGACGGUACCCAAAGAAUAAGCACCGGCUAACUUCGUG
rnacentral:rRNA from 1 species